rnacentral:rRNA from 1 species
CUUACCCUCUCUCUAGCCCACUAACCCACAUACACUACUAUAAACAAACCACUACCACACCCAACCAAAACAUUCUAAAUCCACGUCUCAGUAUAGGCGAUAGAAAGGACCCUAGGCGCAAUAGAGAUCACCGUACCGUAAGGGAAAGAUGAAAUAAUCGUGAAAACUAUAAGUAAAAAACAGUAAAGAUCAACCCUUGUACCUUUUGCAUCAUGAUUUAGCAAGAACAACCAAGCAAAGCGAACUAAAGUUUGCCCCCCCGAAACCCAAGCGAGCUACUUGUAAGCAGCUAAAGUUGAGCAAACCCGUCUCUGUUGCAAAAGAGUGGGACGACUUACUAGUAGAGGUGAAAAGCCAACCGAGCUGGGUGAUAGCUGGUUACCUGCCAAAUGGAUCUAAGUUCUACCUCUCAAUGGUCGAUCACAGGGCGCCUGGACAUUACUCCCGCCUUCAUGUUGGAGUUAACUAGCUACUCGGAGGAGGUACAGCUCCCUCGAAAAAGAACACAACCUCCCCUAGCGGAUAAUAAAACUCCCUCUCAUGCCGUAGGCCUUUAAGCAGCCAUCGACAAAGAAUGCGUCAAAGCUCAUCUCUCCAAAAAUCAAAUACCCUGUUUGACUCCCUUACCUAAAGCAGGUUAACCUAUGACAAUAGAAGAAUUAAUGCUAAAAUAAGUAACUUGGGACUUCCCUCCCCAUGGCGCAAACUUACAUUACCCAUUAUUAACAGACCCACCUUAUAUCCCCACCACUUGCAAGAACACAUAUUUACUCAACCUGUUAAACCAACUCAGGAGCGCCUAUAAGAUGAUUAAAAUCCACAGAAGGAACUCGGCAAAUUAAAGACCCGACUGUUCCCAAAAACAUAGCUUUCAGCCAAACUGACAAGUAUUGAAGGUGAUGCCUGCCCAGUGACUCUCAAGUUCAACGGCCGCGGUAUCCUAACCGUGCGAAGGUAGCGCAAUCAAUUGUCUCAUAAAUUGAGACUUGUAUGAAUGGCUAAACGAGGUCUUAACUGUCUCCUGCGGAUAAUCAGUGAAAUUAAUAUUCCCGUGAAAAAGCGAGAAUGUGACCAUAAGACGAGAAGACCCUGUGGAACUUCAAAAUCACGACCACCCUCUACACCAACAUCACCUACCCAGGUCCACCCUAAACAAACAUUGGUCGACAUUUUUUCGGUUGGGGCGACCCUGGAGAAAAACAAAUCCUCCAAAUCUACAGACCAUGACUCUUCACUAAGACCUACCCCUCAAAGUACCAACAGUAAUCAGACCCAAUAUAAUUGAUCAAUGGACCAAGCUACCCCAGGGAUAACAGCGCAAUCUCCUCCAAGAGCCCAUAUCGACGAGGAGGUUUACGACCUCGAUGUUGGAUCAGGACAACCUAAUGGUGCAGCCGCUAUUAAGGGUUCGUUUGUUCAACGAUUAACAGUCCUACGUGAUCUGAGUUCAGACCGGAGCAAUCCAGGUCGGUUUCUAUCUAUGCGUGCACUCCUCCCAGUACGAAAGGACCGGAGAAGUGGGGUCAAUACAACAAGCACACCCCAACCUUACAAGCAAUGAAUCCAACUUAAUUGCCAAAAGAACUCCCCCCACACCACCCCUAUAAAAGGGCAUA